UAAUACGUAGGGUCCGAGCGUUGUCCGGAGUUACUGGGCGUAAAGCGCGCGCAGGCGGCGGUGCUGGCCCGGCGUGAAAGCCCCCGGCUCAACCGGGGAGGGUCGUCGGGGACCGCACCGCUUGAGGGCGGUAGGGGCUGGUGGAAUGCCUGGUGUAGUGGUGAAAUGCGUAGAGAUCAGGCGGAACACCCGUG
rnacentral:rRNA from 1 species